CCUACGGGUGGCAGCAGUGAGGAAUAUUGGUCAAUGGACGAGAGUCUGAACCAGCCAAGUAGCGUGAAGGAUGACUGCCCUAUGGGUUGUAAACUUCUUUUAUAUGGGAAUAAAACGUUCCACGUGUGGGAUUUUGUAUGUACCAUAUGAAUAAGGAUCGGCUAACUCCGUGCCAGCAGCCGCGGUAAUACGGAGGAUCCGAGCGUUAUCCGGAUUUAUUGGGUUUAAAGGGAGCGUAGGUGGAUUGUUAAGUCAGUUGUGAAAGUUUGCGGCUCAACCGUAAAACUGCAGUUGAAACUGGCAGUCUUGAGUACAGUAGAGGUGGGCGGAAUUCGUGGUGUAGCGGUGAAAUGCUUAGAUAUCACGAAGAACUCCGAUUGCGAAGGCAGUUCACUGGACUGCAACUGACACUGAGGCUCGAAAGUGUGGGUAUCAAACAGGAUUAGAUACCCUAGUAGUC
rnacentral:rRNA from 1 species